AAAGGCCUGAGCUAUGUAGAGGAACUGUUGAAUUUGUUGCUACCAAGGAGUUCAUGAUUCGAGAUCCAAUGCCAGCUGUGUUUUUCUUCCUUGUUGAUGUUUCGAUGAAUGCUGUACAGACCGGUGCAACCGCAGCUGCAUGCAGUGCAAUACAUGAGGCAAUUGCAGAUCUUCCUGAAAAUCCACGGACAAUGGUUGGCAUCGCGACAUUUGAUUCGGCCAUUCAUUUUUACAAUUUGAAACGGGCUCUACAACAGCCUUUGAUGUUAAUCGUUCCCGACGUACAAGAUGUUUAUACUCCUCUCCACACGGAUCUGAUCGUUCAGCUUGCUGAG
rnacentral:misc_RNA from 1 species